CAGUCGCCACGGGAAUACGGAGGGAGCUAGCGUUGUUCGGAAUUACUGGGCGUAAAGCGCACGUAGGCGGCUAUUCAAGUCAGGGGUGAAAGCCCGGGGCUCAACCCCGGAACUGCCUUUGAAACUAGAUAGCUUGAAUCUUGGAGAGGCGAGUGGAAUUCCGAGUGUAGAGGUGAAAUUCGUAGAUAUUCGGAAGAACACCAGUGGCGAAGGCGACUCGCUGGACAAGUAUUGACGCUGAGGUGCGAAAGCGUGGGGAGCAAACAGGAUUAGAUACCCCUGUAGUCCCUGUCUCUUAUAC
rnacentral:rRNA from 1 species